UCUGAUUUGCUGAAUUCAGAAAGCCAAUUUAACAUUGUGGAUUCAACAUUUAAUUCUGCAAUACCACCUUUUACAAGUGUGAUGCUGACAGACCACUCAGUUUGGAGCCAGACCAUUUCACUUGUGUGUGAAUAGCAAAGAAAUGAUAUAAGUCUUUGAACAAUGCCACUCAGAUGAGAGAAAAAAUGUCUGAAAAAUUUCCUGGCCAUUGACCUGAGAUGUGUCAUCCAGUUUCAGGUCCCUACACCUUUGGGACAUGACAUAUCCGAUAACCUGGAAAGUUCACAAGGCUAAAUUCUACAGCCAGACAAGAACUAUAAGGUUUGAGCCUGAUCAAUGCAUCUUGAAAUGUCAACAGUGUCUUUAUUGUAUUCUAGGCAUAGGUUAAGCAGGUGCUGAUCUGGAAAUCAGACAGUAGUGUUGGAACUCACUUCUCCAUUAAUGCACCUGCAGGAAUGGUAUUUGCAACAUAGGAAUUGCCAUACUGGAUCAGACCCAAUGUCCACCUAGUCCAGGAUCCUGUCUUAGACAAUGGCCAGUUUCAGAUGCCUCAGAGAAAGGCGUAAGAACCUCACAGUAGUCAGCACUGAUUACAUUUUAGCGUUUCUUUCUAAAGUUCUUAGCCAGGACAUAAUUAAGAAUUUUAAAUAUUUCAGUACUUAAGUAUUUUGUUUAUCAUUAAUGGGUCAGAUUAUCCUUUCAGCUGCAGCAGCUCAAUUCUGUUAUUUCAUUGGAAUUCCACUUUUUUAUUAAAUACAUAUUUAACCACUAUGGCUAUUAAUGGCUUAUUGAUAGCAAGCUGAGAUAUUGGCUAGAUAUAAAAUUAAUGCUCUAUUUGCUCUUUAAACCCUUCUCAGAUGAUGCUAAAUUAGAAGGGUAAAAGCACCGAGCUGCCUGAAUGCCAUCUUCUUUGAUCCUUUGCAUUUAUUUUCUUCUUUCUCUGGAGAAGUGGAUGUAGAUAUAAUUUAAAUCACUGCACCACUAAUCCGUUUAUAUUAUAUUCUGAUAUAAUAUAAUCAGUUGGAUUCUGCUAGGAAUACACAUCUUCCAUGUAGUAUUUUAUAAGCGUGAGGAAGUGUUAUGAUUUUUGUUUCAAUAUAUAUUGAUGAGUAAUUGGGUGCUUUUUAAUUUCAUUCAGGUCAAAAACCAUAUUUUUGCUUUUGAUAUGUGAAAAAGGAAAACAUUUAUUAAAAUACAGACAUUGAAAUUAAAACGCCACAAUUAGUCUCCCAUUUUUCUUCUGCAUGUGUUUCUUUUGUCCAUUUGUGGACUUGAAAGAAUGCUUGUUUUACAUCAGUGGCAAUAUACAAAUUUUAUCUUGAGUUAAUUGGUGUCAUUUUCCAAGCCCUGUUCCUUUUUCAGAUCUCUUCAUUCCUCCUCUAGCCAUAGUCUGCCUUUGCACAGCCUGUCCCCUCAUCAAAAUGCUUUUGUGUCUGCUCAUAGCCCUGUACCUACAGCAUACUCCCUCUUAGAUCAUGGUAUUGUGUAUUGCCUCAGCAACCUCUUCUGUAUGCACUACCCAUCUCUGCACAAAGGCCUUUGCUCUCUCUGUACCCCUUUCUCUCUCAUCUUUUGUUGAAGCCUACAUUCAUAUCCAAAGUAUCUUCUACCCAGCCUUUUAUGUGGUGUGCUUUAAACCCUUUUAUUCCUUUGAUGAACAUUCUCAGCUACCCAUUCUCUCCCUUACAGGGAGGUGGAUCUUCCUCAAAGUUAUUAUGCAGCAAGAAGAGACUAGGCCCCAUUAUUUGAAUGUCUUUUUGAUUUCACACGUCGUUUAAAUUAAUUGAAUAUAUGUGUAACCAAUGAUUGUCCAUUAAAGUAGCGACACUGAUCAGUGCUUUUCAGUAGGGAAGAGAAAUUAAAACCACUAUGAGUAAAGACGCAAGAAUCAGGCUUUGUGCUGCUUUCUUUGAAUUAAUAUUAGAUGACAAAUCCCAUAUUAAUAACACAUAGAUACUUCUAUAGCUACCAAGAGUUCAUCGUGACUUACAAUAUUACAAUAAAGUGAAAAGAAAUGAAUGAUUCGAUUAUGAUUUUAAAGCUUUCCUGUUUUUAUGAAAAUCAUUAUAUUAUUUGCAGAGGAAUGUACCAGAAAAAGUGGUUCAGUGACAGAUUUUUUAGUAUUAUAAAGCCCCUUUUAGAAUUAUUAUCGGGGAUAGAGAAAGUAAGGCACAGGGUGCCUUUCAUUUAAAAAAAAUUUUUUUGGUGGUCUAAAAACUAGCCCUUACACAACAUUUUUUGCAUCACAAAACCACUUCAACAAUUUGUCUCCACGGGGAGAGGGGAGGGGGGGGAGGAGUGUGACGGGGUGGUGGUGUUGUUGAAUAUUUGAACAGCAGAGUAUCUGGCUGGGAUAGAAACAACAGCAAUAAAGCUAGUAAGGGGAAGUUUACACAACACCUGCUUAGUCUAUGCCUAGCUACAGCCACUAUAAUUAAUCUUGCACUUUAUAGAGCAAAAAUAUGGGUUUUUUUUAAAGAUAGAUUUUCUACUAUAAACUUAUUUUCUGCAAAAUAAAUGACAGCCUUACAGAGUACCAGCCCAUUAAAACAGCAUUAUGAAAUGUUAAAUGGGUCUGAUUUAAACACACACAGGCAAAUUCUGAUCACAGUUACUUGGGUGUAGCUUCCAUUGACCUUAGUGGGAACUGCACUUCCACCCAUUUAACUAAGUGCAAAAUUUGGCCCAUAAAUAAGGAAAAAAUUCAGAGUAAGGCUGAAACUGACUUCAGCUAAGCCUGUUAGAAUUAAAUAUUCUAGAAAUACAUUUGAGAUUCAUUCCACUAAAUUCUCCUAGGCUUCUAGAGGCAACAGCAGAUCCCAAGGUACCAACUGUUUGAAAACUUUGUUUAGACAUC